rnacentral:rRNA from 1 species
ACGUACACUCCUACGGGAGGCAGCAGUGGGGAAUAUUGGACAAUGGGCGAAAGCCUGAUCCAGCAAUGCCGCGUGAGUGAUGAAGGCCUUAGGGUUGUAAAGCUCUUUUACCCGGGAUGAUAAUGACAGUACCGGGAGAAUAAGCCCCGGCUAACUCCGUGCCAGCAGCCGCGGUAAUACGGAGGGGGCUAGCGUUGUUCGGAAUUACUGGGCGUAAAGCGCGCGUAGGCGGCUUUGUAAGUUAGAGGUGAAAGCCCGGAGCUCAACUUCGGAAUUGCCUUUAAGACUGCAUCGCUAGAAUCGUGGAGAGGUGAGUGGAAUUCCGAGUGUAGAGGUGAAAUUCGUAGAUAUUCGGAAGAACACCAGUGGCGAAGGCGACUCACUGGACACGUAUUGACGCUGAGGUGCGAAAGCGUGGGGAGCAAACAGGAUUAGAAACCCGAGUAGUCCCAUGA